rnacentral:misc_RNA from 1 species
GAGUUGAGUUGAGUUGAGUUGAUAAUCAGAGGGGUGAUGUUCAAGCCAAGUCACCUGUGGUUUUAAAGCAGACUUGAAUUUAGAGUCUAGAAUAUUUACCACCAAUUUUUCAUCAAGCUAAAUGAUACUGCAUGCAGACUUUUGAAGUCCUUUAUCCGUUUUUUUAAAGCAUUAAGUAUAUUUGAAGAAGUUAUUUUAAUUUUUCAGG